rnacentral:tRNA from 1 species
GGCCCGGUAGCUCAGCUGGUAGAGCAACAGCCUUUUAAGCUGAUGGUCCUGGGUUCGAUCCCCAGCCGGGUCACCA